UAGGGCGGGGCGGCCAUCCUGCCACCGCUGCGCCUGUCUUCGGAUGGCCGGGAGAAGCACCGUUAGGAGUGGUAACUGUUCUCUGGGCUGAAUCCUGAAUUUGUCUUGUUGGUCAAAGGAUUAAGUUUUGUUCACCUGAAUUCAAGAAGUUACUAAUAGAGAAGCAAUGGAAGGAGUGAGUAAAUUUUAAUUGAGAGUCUGUUGUGUGUCGAUGUCUUAUGAAAUAUCUCCAAAAAAACCUCCUAGAUUUUUAAAUUUUUAGAAUCUUUGUUAUGUUUUAAAAUUGUGUACAAGUUGUUAAAAAAAGUCAAACAGUAAAGAUAGAUUUUUAAAAAGAGAGUGAAAUCAAACACUACUGCUCUCCUCACUUUCCCAUUUAGUAAGUAGUUAGAAUGCUUCUUUUCAUACUGAAGUAGGUAUUAUAAUUCCUGAUUUUAACAGGAGGGUGAACUGAGGCUUGCAGAGACCAAGUAAAUAGUUGAUCAUCUAGAUGAUAAAUAGCAGACUAAAAUUCAAACUGUAUAUCUGACUUCAAGUUAUGCCAUUUCUAGUAUUCCAAGAAAUAUUUUAAUUAUGUGUUGUAUUUAGUUUAAAAUUAUUUACUGCGAUGUAAAUCUGGUAAGUUUCAGCUUUACACUGAUGAUUGCCUUUAUAAAAUAUACAGAUAUUUUGCAAAUUAAGUU